AGUGAACGCUGGCGGUAGGCCUAACACAUGCAAGUCGAACGGCAGCACAGUAAGAGCUUGCUCUUACGGGUGGCGAGUGGCGGACGGGUGAGGAAUACAUCGGAAUCUACUUUUUCGUGGGGGAUAACGUAGGUAAACUUACGCUAAUACCGCAUACGACCUACGGGUGAAAGCAGGGGAUCUUCGGACCUUGCGCGAAUGAAUGAGCCGAUGUCGGAUUAGCUAGUUGGCGGGGGAAAGGCCCACCUAGGCGACGAUCCGUAGCUGGUCUGAGAGGAUGAUCGGCCACACUGGAACUGAGACACGGUCCAGAGUCCUACGGGAGGCAGCAGUGGGGAAUAUUGGACAAUGGGCGCAAGCCUGAUCCAGCCAUAGCGCGUGGGUGAAGAAGGCCUUCGGGUUGUAAAGCCCUUUUGUUGGGAAAGAAAAGCAGCAGGUUAAUACCCAGCUGUUCUGACGGUACCCAAAGAAUAAGCACCGGCUAACUUCGUG
rnacentral:rRNA from 1 species